rnacentral:tRNA from 1 species
GGGCCCAUAGCUCAGUUGGUUAGAGCAGGCGACUCAUAAUCGCUUGGUCCUAGGUUCAAGUCCUAGUGGGCCCA